rnacentral:rRNA from 1 species
UGCAGUCGAACGGCAACAGGGUAGCAAUACCGCUGACGAGUGGCGCACGGGUGCGUAACGCGUAUGCAGUCUACCUUUAACAGGGGAAUAGCUCAGAGAAAUCUGAAUUAAUACCGCAUAAUAUAGUGAGUGGGCAUCCACUUACUAUCAAACCUUCGGGGGUUAAAGAUGAGCAUGCGUAUCAUUAGCUAGUUGGUGAGGUAACGGCUCACCAAGGCUACGAUGAUUAGGGGGUCUGAGAGGAUGAUCCCCCACACUGGUACUGAGACACGGACCAGACUCCUACGGGAGGCAGCAGUAAGGAAUAUUGGUCAAUGGACGAAAGUCUGAACCAGCCAUGCCGCGUGCAGGAUUAAGGCCCUAUGGGUCGUAAACUGCUUUUAUACGGGACAAAACCACCCUACGUGUAGGGUGCUGAUGGUACUGUAAGAAUAAGGAUCGGCUAACUUCGUGCCAGCAGCCGCGGUAAUACGAAGGAUUCGAGCGUUAUCCGGAUUUAUUGGGUUUAAAGGGUGCGUAGGCGGACUGAUAAGUCAGUGGUGAAAGCCUGUUGCUUAACAACAGAACUGCCAUUGAUACUGCCAGUCUUGAGUACAGUUGAGGUAGGCGGAAUGUGUCAUGUAGUGGUGAAAUACUUAGAUAUGACACAGAACACCGAUCGCGAAGGCAGCUUGCUAAACUGUAACUGACGCUGAGGCACGAAAGCAUGGGGAGCAAACAGGAUUAGAUACCCUGGUAGUCCAUGCCCUAAACGAUGAUUACUCGAUGUGUGCGAUACACAGUACGCGUCUAAGCGAAAGCAUUAAGUAAUCCACCUGGGAAGUACGACCGCAAGGUUGAAACUCAAAGGAAUUGACGGGGGCCCGCACAAGCGGAGGAGCAUGUGGUUUAAUUCGAUGAUACGCGAGGAACCUUACY